GGCCAUGGCUCAGUCACAGAGCACCUGCUUUGCAUGCAGGACGUCCCAAGUUCAAUCCCUGGCACCUCUGGGUUGGCCC